rnacentral:rRNA from 1 species
CCUACGGGCGGCAGCAGUGAGGAAUAUUGGUCAAUGGGCGCGACCCUGAACCAGCCAAGUAGCGUGAAGGAUGACUGCCCUACGGGUUGUAAACUUCUUUUAUAAAGGAAUAAAGUGAGGCACGUGUGCCUUUUUGUAUGUACUUUAUGAAUAAGGAUCGGCUAACUCCGUGCCAGCAGCCGCGGUAAUACGGAGGGUCCGAGCGUUAUACGGAGUUAUUGGGGGUAAAGGGAGCGUAGAUGGGUUGUUAAGUCAGUUGUGAAAGUUUGCGGCGUAACCAUAGAACUGCAUUUGAUACUGGUAGUCUAGAGUACAGUUGAGGUAGGCGGAAUUCGUGGUGUAGCGGUGAAAUGCUUAGAGAUCAAGAAGAACUCCGAUUGCGAAGGCAGCUUACUAGAC